rnacentral:rRNA from 1 species
AUUGAACGCUGGCGGCAUGCCUUACACAUGCAAGUCGAACGGCAGCACGGGUGCUUGCACCUGGUGGCGAGUGGCGAACGGGUGAGUAAUACAUCGGAACAUGUCCUGUAGUGGGGGAUAGCCCGGCGAAAGCCGGAUUAAUACCGCAUACGAUCUACGGAUGAAAGCGGGGGACCUUCGGGCCUCGCGCUAUAGGGUUGGCCGAUGGCUGAUUAGCUAGUUGGUGGGGUAAAGGCCUACCAAGGCGACGAUCAGUAGCUGGUCUGAGAGGACGACCAGCCACACUGGGACUGAGACACGGCCCAGACUCCUACGGGAGGCAGCAGUGAGGAAUUUUGGACAAUGGGCGAAAGCCUGAUCCAGCAAUGCCGCGUGUGUGAAGAAGGCCUUCGGGUUGUAAAGCACUUUUGUCCGGAAAGAAAUCCUUGGCUCUAAUACAGUCGGGGGAUGACGGUACCGGAAGAAUAAGCACCGGCUAACUACGUG